rnacentral:lncRNA from 1 species
AUUACUGUUGUUGUAUUUGAAAGAAUUAUAAAUUUUGAAAAAAUAUUUAUAUGAGUUAUUUGUAGUAUGGUAAGAUUAUUCAUAUCCAAAGUAUAAUACAUGUAAUACUUAACAAACACCUAAAGAUUUUAUGAAAGACCAACCGACCAAAGUUGCAGCUUAAUUUAAUGUUGAUAUAAAUGAGAUGUUGUAUUGCUCCACUAGAUGUGCUGGACAAGUAGUGCUUUUACAGUAAUUUGAGAGUAACAUGUUAUAAUUUAAAAAAAACAUUUUUGAUAUUUAUGUGUAACAUACAUGAUGCACAUUUUAGUGGAAUUUUAGAAAAGCCUGGUGAUGUUUAGUAACAUUUGUGUUUCAUAGCUUUUGAUACAUGUAUGACAUGUUUGUGUUAUUAUUGUGUACUUUGUUGAUUGUAAAUGAACAUUGCUGUAUAAUUUAAAAAUAAAU